GUAUAUUAGUUCUGCGCAAUAAAAUUAGAGUGCAAAUGCUAUCUCUCGACUGAGGUGUCAAUAUUCAUUUUAAUUUGUACAAUUAAGAAGGAAAUAAUAAUUUACCAAUUUUGUUAUCCCCUCUAUGGUCAACCGGUGUCGUAUUGCUACUAUCUCUGUCACGGUCACGCUCUCUUGGUUGUACAAUGCAUUUUCCACACGUUCGUGGGGGAGCAGAUGGAACGAUGUUACAAGCUCUGCCAUAGGUCAGAUAUUCCAAAAAAUAUACUCACCAGGAUUUCUACAAUGGAUGCAAACUGCAACAGUUUCAUUUCGAAUUCUCUCGAUAGUGAGAGUCGAAGGAAGACCAGGUAUGUGACCACCCUUGGCACUAGGUCCCUGAGUUGAACCAUCUUCUGAUUUAAUUUUUCCCGGAAAUACUUUGCUCUCAGGAUUGUUUCUGAGUAUAUUUGGUCUUGUUGACGACUUCUGGGUGGGAAUUAGAGAUUUUAUAGGAAUUCUAGACGGUGUGGUUGAUGGCUUAGAUCCAGAAACCUUAUUUGGAGGAGGUGAAGGUCCGUUUAAACGGGCCGUAGUUUGUCGUGUUUGCGGCGCUGUUCCGUUGGAUUGCAAAUACGAAUGUUUUUUUCUUUUCUACGGGGAGAAAGUAUAUUUCAAG
rnacentral:misc_RNA from 1 species